rnacentral:rRNA from 1 species
CACGAAGGGGGCUAGCGUUGCUCGGAAUUACUGGGCGUAAAGCGCACGUAGGCGGCUUUCUAAGUCGGGGGUGAAAUCCUGGAGCUCAACUCCAGAACUGCCUUCGAUACUGGAGAGCUCGAGUCCGGGAGAGGUGAGUGGAACUGCGAGUGUAGAGGUGAAAUUCGUAGAUAUUCGCAAGAACACCAGUGGCGAAGGCGGCUCACUGGCCCGGUACUGACGCUGAGGUGCGAAAGCGUGGGGAGCAAACAGG